rnacentral:lncRNA from 1 species
GUGCCCCUAAAUUCAAUCCCUGGUUAAAAAAAAAAAAAAAACAGGCUUGGUUGAACAGCACGGAAACCAUUGGGAACCUGUUUCUACCCAAUAUAGUUGCCCACUAGGGAGGAGGAAACAGCACAACUGCUCCCUUCUCAUCAGCUACGACUAGAUUCUGACUCAGGAGAAGUAGGGCUUUGAGGAAAUUUGGGACAAAAAAUAGAUAGCAAUAUUUCAUCAAGUUCAGAACUCAACUAAUGUACCAUGUGUGUUUAUUUUAUGUUCCACUAAAAAGAAACCACUUUAUGUAACAUGCCACCAGUUGUGAGAUAUAUUCAAAAAUCAGAUACUAUCGAUAUAGCUCAGUAGUAGAGCACUUGCCUAAUGCAAGGCCCUGUGUUCCAUCAAUCUUGAUGCCACCAAAAACAAAAAAGCCAUCUCCAUUGUCACCAGGUAUUAGAUUUAGCAGACAGUUUCAAAACAACUAUUAUAGAUAAGUUAAACAACUACAGGAAACCAUAUUAAUAAAUUUGAAGAAAAUCAAUAAAAGUAACAAUCUCAGCAAAAAAGAGAUGAGUCAAAUGGAAAAUCAGGGGUUAAAAAGUAAAAUAACUACUAAGAAAAACAAAAUGGUAAGACAUCAGGAAACUUGAAGAUAGGUCAUUAGUAAAUAACCCAUCUAAAGAAGAAUGCAUGGAGUUGGAAGAAACAUGAAUAGAGCAUCUGAGACCUGUCAACCAGUUCCAGGCAUGGGAAGGGCAGACGAGAAGAAAUGACAGAGAGAGG